rfam:Aspergillus zonatus CBS 506.65 unplaced genomic scaffold ASPZOscaffold_1, whole genome shotgun sequence.
GAUCGACUGGCCCAGUGGUUAAGGCGUCCGCUUUACACGCGGAAAAUCGCAGGUUCGAUCCCUGCGUCGAUCA